CGGAAGCUACUAGAUUUUUCCCUCACACCCUUUCUCUUUCUCUUUCCCGUAUCACUCUUUCCUCUCUGUUCUCUCACAUCAUCACUUCUUCCUUUUCCAAUUUUUCUUUCAAAUCCUCAAUUUUCUUCCACAAAUCAAACACCCACAAGAAACACUACAUAUCUGAGCUAAGUUAUCUCAUGACACAAGUGUUAUUUGGUAGAAUUUUGGGGGUUAGGGUUGUGCUCGAGGAAGAUGAAAAAUACCCAUUUUAUGGAAGUGGCUCACCGAGACUUUUGGAGAUAUGACGCCAGACGCUUCACAUGCUUCUUCAGGAGUGGUUAGAGCGCAAACAUAGUUGAUUCGUCGUAACUAUUUUCAAGCAGCUGAGUAGAAAGCUGCUAGUAGACUCGAAGCUCAGCGGCGUCACAUUUUGUUGGUAGGCCUCCUUGAUGGCCGACUCUUUUAUUUAUGUAUAUUUUAGUGUCAAUUGAUGUAUCUGCAGCUAUUUGGGAGUCUAUGAUGUUUUUUUUUUUUUGAGUUGUACAAGUAGUAUGAAAAUGAAGAUGUUAUUUAGAGAUUCUGGCUGAUAUAAUAGGUUUUUAAAACAUGAUUUACAUCUUGGAAA